UACGAAGGGGGCUAGCGUUGCUCGGAAUCACUGGGCGUAAAGCGCACGUAGGCGGAUUCUUAUGUCAGGGGCGAAAUCCUGGAGCUCAACUCCAGAACUGCCUUUGAUACUGAGGAUCUUGAGUUCGGGAGAGGUGAGUGGAACUGCGAGUGUAGAGGUGAAAUUCGUAGAUAUUCGCAAGAACACCAGUGGCGAAGGCGGCUCACUGGCCCGAUACUGACGCUGAGGCACGAAAGCGUGGGGAGCAAACAGG
rnacentral:rRNA from 1 species